UAGGAUUUCUCUUUAACGAAGUCCUGC
rnacentral:sRNA from 1 species